UACGUAGGGUGCAAGCGUUAAUCGGAAUUACUGGGCGUAAAGCGUGCGCAGGCGGUUUCGUAAGUCUGUCGUGAAAUCCCCGGGCUUAACUGGGAGAGGCCAACGGAAACUAUUCGGCUGGAGUGCGGUAGAGGUAGCUGGAAUUCCCGGUGUAGCGGUGAAAUGCGUAGAUAUCGGGAGGAAUACCUAUGGCGAAAGCAGGCUACUGGACCGUCACUGACUCUGAUCUGCGAAAGCUAGGGGAGCAAACAGG
rnacentral:rRNA from 1 species